rnacentral:miRNA from 1 species
UUCAAGUGAGGUCAGAGCUGCU